rnacentral:rRNA from 1 species
AGUAGAGUGGCGUCCGGGUGAGUAACACGUAGGUAAUCUACCUCUGGGUGGGGAAUAACAGCCGGAAACGGCUGCUAAUACCGCAUAACGCAGCGGCACCACAUGGUGACAGUUGUUAAAGCGGGGGAUCUUCGGACCUCGCGCCUAGAGAGGAGCCUGCGGCGGAUUAGCUAGUUGGUGGGGUAAUGGCUCACCAAGGCAACGAUCCGUAGCCGGCCUGAGAGGGCGGACGGCCACACUGGGACUGAGACACGGCCCAGACUCCUACGGGAGGCAGCAGUGGGGAAUUGUUCGCAAUGGGCGCAAGCCUGACGACGCAACGCCGCGUGGAGGAUGAAGGUCUUCGGAUUGUAAACUCCUGUUGCCCGGGACGAAUGCUCUCGACCUAACACGUCGAGGGGUGACGGUACCGGGUGAGGAAGCCCCGGCUAACUCUGUGCCAGCAGCCGCGGUAAUACAGAGGGGGCAAGCGUUGUUCGGAAUUACUGGGCGUAAAGGGCGCGUAGGCGGCCUGCUAAGUCGAACGUGAAAUCCCCGGGCUCAACCCGGGAACUGCGUUCGAGACUGGCGGGCUCGAAUCCGGGAGAGGGAUGCGGAAUUCCAGGUGUAGCGGUGAAAUGCGUAGAUAUCUGGAG